rnacentral:lncRNA from 1 species
GUAAGACACCGUGCCUGGCCACUAAUAAUAAUAAUUUAAAAAUUUCUGAAAAUGAUUCUGCAUCUGCCAAAUGUGCUGCAUGAAUUCUCAGCAUAACUCAGUGACACAGUUUAAUCCCCAUUUUCCAGAUGCGAAAAUUGAGAUUCAGAGCAGUGUAAUGAACCGAGCUCACACCGCUGGUAGGUGGAGCAGGUGUGCGUGUUUUGUGCUCAUGUAGGGGGUUGGGGAGUGUUCCAGCCAGCCUCUGUGCACCUGGGGUGGGGGUGGAAUGAGGAGGGGGUUGUUGUGAGCCUGAGGGUCGCACUGUCUGUGGUUCUCUCCUUCCUGUCAGCUGAGCCCAGCUCCAGACUCAAGAGGAACGGCUGGGGUGAUACCAUCUCCUGGUUUCUGCGGGGGUGUAUGUGAGUUCCCUCCCCCUGCCCCCAGCUGUGGGACUGUCCCUUCUCACAGCCACCACCAACUGACUUCCCCACAGCCUCCAGAUGAGCAAAAAGGUAAAACUCCGGCAUUUUCCACAUCCUCAGCAUCCUCCACCUCCUCAGCUGUUCGCACCCGUGCUGGGAUGCAGGUAGGAUGCCCCCAGUUGACAAGGGAGGAAACUGAGGCCCAGCAAUGGGGAGGGACUCCCCCAGGGUCACACAGCAAGGCCAUGGCUGAGCCUGGACACAGGCCCAGGGCUCAGCACAGCUGGGUCAGUGCUCAGGGGUUUGCUUCCCAGCCCUGCCGGCCCUAUUUGGUUAUUGCCUUGGUCUCCUGAGAAACGUGUCGGCAAAUGUGGCCGCUCUGCUGCAUGCGGUGGGGGUGGAAAUUGAAUCAGUGGCCAGAGGGAGGACCCCCAACUGCCUUCUUUCUCAGCACCACUGGUUUUGCCUCCUGGGCACCAGACGUUUGGAGGAGAUAGUGGGGGCUGGGAGGGAAACUGAGGCCCAGAGUCCAGGGUCUGGGAUUGGGCCCUGCUCAAUAGCCCGUGUGACCUCAAGCAAGUCUCUGGGCCUCAGCGUUGCCAUCUGGGAAAUGCAGUCAUAAUCGCCUCAGCAUUGCCAUCUGGGAAAUGCAGUCACAAUCACUGCCCUUUACGCCACAUGUCCCCCACCCUGGUGGGGUCAGAUCAAAGGAAUCAGGAGACAGAAAAAGUUUGCUGGGACUGGGAAGGACAGACACAGGAAAACAGAGCAGUGGGCAAGUGUGGCCCCUCACCGUGGAGCCUGAUUCUAGUACCUCUGUGCUCUUUCCCCACCCAAGUAUUGGGUCCCAGCCUCACUGCUGUUGGGAAUGUCAGAGACAGCCAGAGACACAGUGGACUGCAGAGAUCGAGAGACGCGGUGGGGAGACAAAGAGACGGAUAAAGAGAAGCACAGAGAUGGAGAACGAAGUCAGUCAGAGAGACAGAGAUGCUGGGCCAGAGUGACAGCCAGAAAGCCACGGGAUGCCCAGAAGCAGAGACGUCUGCAGAGAGACAGUGAUGGACAAAGAGAAACAGAAACAAGGCGGGAAACAGGAGGAUCGCUUGAGCCCAGGAGAUCGAGACCAGCCUGGGCAACAAACGAAUAGCGUGAGUCAAGAGAAUCCCCUCACUCAGACACCCAGGUUCGGGUCCCAACUUUGUCGCCGUGUGACCUUGGGCAAAUGACCUCACCUCUGAGCCUCAACGUCUUCUUCUGCAAAAUGGGUUAGUGAUCCUGACUAUGGGGCUGUUGAUUCAGGAUUCGGCGGGAACGCCCAGCACUUCCUGAGUACACAAGAGUGCUGAGAAAAUGG